rnacentral:rRNA from 1 species
AACGAACGCUGGCGGCAGGCUUAACACAUGCAAGUCGAACGAAGUCUUCGGACUUAGUGGCGCACGGGUGAGUAACACGUGGGAAUAUACCUCUUGGUGGGGAAUAACAUCGGGAAACUGAUGCUAAUACCGCAUACGCCUUCGGGAAGGAUUAUCGCCGAGAGAUUAGCCGCGUCCGAUUAGCUAGUUGGUGAGGUAAUGGCUCACCAAGGCGACGAUCGGUAGCUGGUCUGAGAGGAUGAUCAGCCACACUGGGACUGAGACACGGCCCAGACUCCUACGGGAGGCAGCAGUGGGGAAUAUUGGACAAUGGGCGAAAGCCUGAUCCAGCCAUGCCGCGUGAGUGAUGAAGGCCUUAAGGUUGUAAGACUCUUUUACCCGGGAGUGAUAAUGACAGUACCGGAGAAUAAGCCCGGCUAACUCCGUGCCAGCAGCCGCGGUAAU